ACGGGAGGCAGCAGUGAGGAAUAUUGGGCAAUGGGCAUAAGCCUGACCCAGCGACGCCGCGUGAGGGAAGAAGGUCUUCGGAUUGUAAACCUUAGUUAUCGGGGAAGAAGAAAGUGACGGUACCCGAAGAGAAAGCCACGGCUAACUACGUGCCAGCAGCCGCGGUAAUACGUAGGUGGCAAGCGUUGUCCGGAUUUAUUGGGUGUAAAGGGUGUGUAGGCGGGACGGCAAGUCAGAUGUGAAAACUAUGGGCUCAACCCAUAGCCUGCAUUUGAAACUGCUGUUCUUGAGAGUCGGAGAGGUAAAUGGAAUUCCUGGUGUAGCGGUGAAAUGCGUAGAUAUCAGGAGGAACACCGGUGGCGAAGGCGGUUUACUGGACGACAACUGACGCUGAGACACGAAAGCGUGGGGAGCAAACAGGAUUAGAUACCCUGGUA
rnacentral:rRNA from 1 species